AGUUUGAUCCUGGCUCAGGAUGAACGCUGGCGGCGUGCUUAACACAUGCAAGUCGAGCGAUGAAGUUUCCUUCGGGAAACGGAUUAGCGGCGGACGGGUGAGUAACACGUGGGUAACCUGCCUCAUAGAGUGGAAUAGCCUUCCGAAAGGAAGAUUAAUACCGCAUAACGUUGAAAGAUGGCAUCAUCAUUCAACCAAAGGAGCAAUCCGCUAUGAGAUGGACCCGCGGCGCAUUAGCUAGUUGGUGGGGUAACGGCCUACCAAGGCGACGAUGCGUAGCCGACCUGAGAGGGUGAUCGGCCACAUUGGGACUGAGACACGGCCCAGACUCCUACGGGAGGCAGCAGUGGGGAAUAUUGCACAAUGGGGGAAACCCUGAUGCAGCAACGCCGCGUGAGUGAUGAAGGUUUUCGGAUCGUAAAGCUCUGUCUUUGGGGAAGAUAAUGACGGUACCCAAGGAGGAAGCCACGGCUAACUACGUGCCAGCAGCCGCGGUAAUACGUAGGUGGCGAGCGUUAUCCGGAUUUACUGGGCGUAAAGGGAGCGUAGGCGGAUGAUUAAGUGGGAUGUGAAAUACCCGGGCUCAACUUGGGUGCUGCAUUCCAAACUGGUUAUCUAGAGUGCAGGAGAGGAGAGUGGAAUUCCUAGUGUAGCGGUGAAAUGCGUAGA
rnacentral:rRNA from 1 species